UCUGGGCUACAGCAACUAUAGGGCUCGUGCUUCCCGACUGCUGGGCUAUAAUCUAUGAAACUGAGCCCAGAUCCAGCCAAUCAGUUCACUCCUCAUAACAAGUCUAACUGGCUCUGGAAAGCUGAAAGGGCUGCACUGGAGCAGCGUAGAUGAGAUAUUCCACACAAUGAUCUGCUUAUCUAGAAUCACUUUGCCUGGAAAGGCCAGAGAAAAAUUACUUUGUCUAAGGAAAGAAGGACAGGUAAUCUGGUAAAACUGCCACCAGACCUGGAGCAAGAUCCUCUGGCUUGGCAGUCCCAGUGCUGCUGGCGUUAAAGGACCCGAGGCACCCCAGAAACCAAAGGGCAACCACCACGGCAGCAAUACACCAAGAUAAUUGACUGAAUUCAACUUGAGGUUUGACACCAGGAAGAAAAAUAACGAUAUACAGAGAACAGAAAAAAAUAAUCCUUUGGAACUUUCCUCCCAGGUGUUGCUGCCUAUGGUGACCACGUGAGAAUGGAAACGCUGAGAAAGUUGGGCUCUUAGCAUUGUCGUCCCUUUUAUUCAAAGAUAAUAUUGAUUAUUUAGUCUAAAAUAGUAAAGAAGUCCUUAAGAUAAUACUGGCAUUGAAUUCUCAAUAUCAAACUCCCUGCUUUUCACCCCCUCAAUAAAAUUCCAUUAAAAUCCCCCUAACUCUCAAGUUCAAAUCUCCAUUUGCCAAGAAUGCUCUAAACUGAGGCAUGUAAGUCAUGUCACACAUAUUCUCAUCCAGAAAAAAACUCAUCACCUAAAACUUCAAAGAAAAUUGUCUUGUUGUCCACGACAAUGGCCAUCAACUAUAGGGCGAGUCUUGGAACUGAGUUUCCACAACUUUUGAACAUUCACUGUGUCAACAUAUAACUGUGUUGCCAACUGACCCCUGGCUCCUUGGCCCUUAAAAACACCAAAAGCUCUGUUUAACUCAACUUUAAACUGUUCAUCUAUUAGGAAUGUUCACCCCAAAACACAUUCAUGAGAGCUUUCUAAAAAAACCAGCACUGCCUUCCCCUCUUAGAAUCAUAAUGAUCACAAAAAUCUGAGAUAAGUGCCUGUAACUUGGCAUUUUCCUGGGGAUUUAAAUAUCAAGUUCCUGGCACUAUGUCAUGGGGGCAGGAGGCUGGGACUUACACAGAAACAACAAAA